GUAGCCUGUUUUUUAUUUGCAACCGCGGGAAAAAUCGAGGUGCAAAAAGAUGACGACGACACAAUUGUUUUGUUGGUAUUUUGCAACCUUAUUUGGACCUGAACUGGCGUGUGCUGGAGGAAUCCUUGUUCAUAACUGGUUUGCAGCUGAGGUAUGUCCCUUUGUAACCUAUGGCACUUUAGCUGAGGUUCGUUGCGCCCAACUGUAGACCAUGAAGACCUGUGUUUGCACUACAUAUUUUUUCGUCGUAAUCGUACCAUCAACUUGCUUGUCGUGCUGGAGUGGAUAGCAUAAUCGGACACUCUCGGCUUAUGCUCUAAGCGAAAGGUAGAUAUAUUUGGGUUUGGAUUCCCAAAGCACAUCCCAAUGAGGCUAUGCAAAAUGGAGCGGCCCACAAUUUCGUGGAGUCCCCUUGCUGUUGUGUCUUCGACAUCUAAACGGAAUUUCUAUAUGGUCUUGUGCGCUCGUCAUCAACAGCACUACACUACUGUAGGUCCAGUGGGCCAAUCAGGCUGAACGUCAUCAUCCAGCUGUGACUGGGGUGGGUGUAGGAGUCGACACCUGCUGUUGCGCCGGCUCGAGCUAGUACUCGCAUGAGCUCGCUGGAAUUGCUAUGUGCAUCCACAAAGUCCGAAAGAACAAGCUGGAAAGGG